GCUGGGCGUGGUGGUGCAUGCCUGUAAUCCCAGCUACUUGGGAGGCUGAGGCAGGAGAAUUGCUUGAGCCCAGGAGGUGGAGAUUGCAGUGAGCCAAGAUUGCACCACUGCACUCCAGCCUGGGUGACAGAGUGAGACUCUGUCUCAA
rnacentral:SRP_RNA from 1 species